CUUUUUUGUAUUACGCUACAUACAUUUUAAGGUAAGACCGCACUAGGCGUAACUGAACUGCAGCGGAACUGCGCGACACGACGCGUCAAAAUAUUCUUUGUAUGAAAUUAUAUGAGACAACACGCACUUCGCGGCAACUGAACUGCACUGCAACUGAACUGCGCGGCAAAGUUGAUCAACUGACCAAAAGUGUCGCGACUUGUCGCAACGUGUAGUUCCGUUGCCGCGCAGUGCGGUUUGACAAACUUCAUGUUCAUAGUCAGU